UUAUUCUGGUAUUUCCUUUAAACUUAAAAGCAAGACAACUUCCUGGGAAGAUAAACUAAAAUUAGCUCACUUUGCUUGGAUUUCUCAUCAGUGCUUUCUACCAAAUAAAGAACAAGUUUUACUUGAUUGGGCAAGACAGUCAUUGGUUGCAUUUUAUAAGAAGAAGCUUGAACUGCAGGAAGAUAUUGUUGAAAGGCUCUGGGUCUAUGUAGAUAACAUUCUACAUAGCAGGAGAUUACAGAAUCUCCUCAAGAAUGGAAAGACUAUAAAUCUUCAGAUUUCCCUUGUCAAGAUCAUAAAUGAGAAAAUCGAAGAGUUCUCACUUUCGGGAUCCCAGAGGAGUAUCUGCGCCAUCCUGAGUUGCUGCCAGGGCAUCCUCUCAGCACCUGCCCUUGCUGUCAUCUACACAGCCAAACCAG
rnacentral:lncRNA from 1 species